rnacentral:lncRNA from 1 species
AUGGCGGACGCAGAGGCCGUGUUGCAGCGGCUCGGCGCCCGCCCCUGCCAAGAGUUCGUGAGCUGGGGGCAGUGCCUGGGCUGGGGGCCGCGGGAACUAGUGCCCAUCGCGGCCCCGGCGGUGUUGGACCCCGGAGACAGCAAAGACUACGAGGGGGACGAGCACUUGGCGGCGGCGCUGGCCGCCCCUUGGGACCCGGUGAGCCUGGGCGGAGCUUGGCAGGAUAUCCAGGCGCGACUCGGGAACAAGGCCAAGUUCACCUCUAGGAAAAACACAAAGCUGAGGGAGCCCUCAGUGACCUCAGACGUCAGUAUUGAAACAGAGGUGGGAGAUCUCCAGGUGACAAUGAAGAAACUCAAAAAGGUCAUCCCACAGUUCCUAAUGGAUGAGGACUGUGACCCGCUGGCCCUCUAUGAUCCCAUGUGAAAUAUGAGUUGUGAUGUUGACAGCCUGCCAGAGAGCUCCUUCGAUGCAGCUUGUCUACUUUGAGGGAUUCCAAUGAGCAUGACUUGGAGGUGGGCAGCAGCACCAGAGGGGGUUACAGAGGUCACAUGGUACAUGGGAGAGCUUUGAGGGUGAUGCUUCAGAUGCAGACGUAAGUUCUGAAAUCACUGCUCUCCUGGGCCUGAUCUUCAGUCAAAAUGCAUAUAUCACCCUGUUUGGUGUUUAUCUGUCAUGACUGUUGUUUUAAAGGUCGGAUGUAUGAAAUACAGGAGAAGGUUUUUCUCUACCAAGUUAGGAAAAACUCUCAUAGAUUUCCUUUUGGGGCCACUCUGUUUUAUAACAGCAUUGCGUAAAGAGUCAGGUGCAUAUUUUUCUUCCUUUGACUUCAUGACAUAGCGAUGUAAUGAAAAACUUUGUUGUUUAACAACUGACCUUAGUAUAAGGGAUCAAGGUGUGGUUUCUGUCCUGGACUGGAAGCCCUAGGGGGCUACUAGCUCUUCUGGAAAACCCAUCGCACUUUCACCACAGGUGGGUGGUUUUGGAGACACUUAAAAAAAUUUUUUUUAUUAAAGUAUAGUUGAUUUACAAUGUUCUGUCAAUUUCUGCUGUACAGCAAUGUGACAUAGUCAUAUAUAUGUGUGUGUGUGUGUGUGUGUGUGUGUUCUUGGAGGCACUUUUAUUUGUCAACACUGUUCAUUUUCAUGCCAUAUAACUUACUAGGGAGAAAGCUGGCACUGCCUUUGUCACCCACUGUGGCUUCCUUCCCCUACACAGGCAUGGUGGGUGAUAACCAUAAACUUUCUGGCUUGCAAAAGGCUUACAAGAUUGUGCUGGCUGGGGAUGUCAUGGUGGGGAAGUUGAGUUUCCUUAUGAGAUGUUAUGAGAAUGAAUUUUGAGGCAGUACAAGUGCCACCCUGGGUAUGGUUCCUUUUUCAUUGGAUAAAGGGAAAAUGACCUUCUUUAGCUCGAUGGUAUUUUCUUUAGGGAUUAUAUACACAGAUCUCUUUCUCUUUCUCUGUAUAAUAAGUAUAUAGGUAGCUGUGUAUGUAUGUGCAUGCAUGUGUGUGUCCUUGCCUAUAGAAUUGUCCUCUUCUGUUUUGGCUAAGGCCUAAAUUUGGGAAAGGAAGACUAACAAAGGACUUAGGUAUCUACUUACCCAGUGAGAUCAACCAAACCAAGUUUAGAAGUCAGAGAAGACAGAUUUAUGCAGUGGAACUAUGGAUACACAAUAAACAAAGUAUGGAAAUUAUUUCA